UACGUAGGGUGCAAGCGUUAAUCGGAAUUACUAGGCGUAAAGCGUGCGCAGGCGGUUGUGCAAGACAGAUGUGAAAUCCCCGGGCUUAACCUGGGAACUGCAUUUGUGACUGCACAGCUGGAGUGCGGCAGAGGGGGGUGGAAUUCCACGUGUAGCAGUGAAAUGCGUAGAGAUGUGGAGGAACACCGAUGGCGAAGGCAGCCCCCUGGGUUAACACUGACGCUCAGGCACGAAAGCGUGGGGAGCAAACAGG
rnacentral:rRNA from 1 species